GACGAACGCUGGCGGCGUGCUUAACACAUGCAAGUCGAACGGAAAGUCCCUGCUUUUGUGGGGUGCUCGAGUGGCGAACGGGUGAGUAACACGUGAGUAACCUGCCCUUGACUUUGGGAUAACUUCAGGAAACUGGGGCUAAUACCGUAUAGGAGCUCCUGCUGCAUUGUGGGGGUUGGAAAGUUUCGGCGGUUGGGUAUGGACUCGCGGCUUAUCAGCUUGCUGGUUGGGUAGUGGCUUACCAAGGCUUUGACGGGUAGCCGGCCUGAGAGGGUGACCGGCCACAUUGGGACUGAGAUACGGCCCAGACUCCUACGGGAGGCAACAGUGGGGAAUAUUGCACAAUGGGCGGAAGACUGAUGCAGCCACGCAGCGUGCGGGAUGACGGCCUUCGGGUUGUAAACCGCUUUCGCCUGUGACGAAGCGUGAGUGACGGUAAUGGGUAAAGAAGCACCGGCUAACUACGUG
rnacentral:rRNA from 1 species